UUCCGGGUCAGGUGUUUGUCUGUGCAGGUAAUGCUCCGCGCCAUUGCUGCGGCUACUGCUUUGUUUCGGUUUAUUUAUCAUUGUGUCCUUAUGCUUAAAGCCUGCAUGUUUUCACUGCAGAGUAGCGACUGAGUGCUCCGUCCCCCGUGCUCCGUUUAUUCCCGGGUUCUCUCGAGCGGUGGUAGAUGUCCGCUGCCGUGUGGGUCUUUCUCUCCCUCACUCUCCCUGUGCAGGUUUGACUUUGAAAACAGGGAACGCUCAUCAGCUGGCCGAAAUCUAUCGCUGGUGAUUCACGUGACUCCACCACUAGCUGAUUGGGGCCGCUGCUGCUUUGUCUGCUGCUUUGUCUCUGCUGCUAAAUG